UUUGUCCUACGGGAGGCAGCAGUGGGGAAUAUUGCACAAUGGGGGAAACCCUGAUGCAGCGACGCCGCGUGAGUGAAGAAGUAUCUCGGUACGUAAAGCUCUAUCAGCAGGGAAGAAAAAAAGUCUUUGGCUUUGGACGGUACCUGACUAAGAAGCCCCGGCUAACUACGUGCCAGCAGCCGCGGUAAUACGGAGGAUGCGAGCGUUAUCCGGAUUUAUUGGGUUUAAAGGGUGCGUAGGCGGAAUGCCAAGGCAGCGGUAAAAUCGCGGGGCUCAACGUCGCUCCGCCGUUGAAACUGGCGUUU
rnacentral:rRNA from 1 species